rnacentral:rRNA from 1 species
GGGGGAAUCGUUAAAUUGCUGGCUGUACGCGGCUGUGCUCUCGGGCCAGUUUUGCGGAGGCUGAAUUAUUUAUUACCCUUGUCUUUUGCGCACUUGUUGUUUCCUGGGCGGGUUCGCCCGCCACCAGGACCACAUCAUAAACCUUUUUUAUGCAGUUGCAAUCAGCGUCAGUAUAACAAAUGUAAAUCAUUUACAACUUUCAACAACGGAUCUCUUGGUUCUGGCAUCGAUGAAGAACGCAGCGAAAUGCGAUACGUAGUGUGAAUUGCAGAAUUCAGUGAAUCAUCGAAUCUUUGAACGCACAUUGCGCCCUUUGGUAUUCCAAAGGGCAUGCCUGUUCGAGCGUCAUUUGUACCCUCAAGCUUUGCUUGGUGUUGGGCGUUUUUUGUCUUUGGUUGCCAAAGACUCGCCUUAAAAGGAUUGGCAGCCGGCCUACUGGUUUCGCAGCGCAGCACAUUUUUGCGCUUGCAAUCAGCAAAAGAGGACGGCAAUCCAUCAAGACUCCUUCUCACGUUUGACCUCGGAUCAGGUAGGGAUACCCGCUGAACUUAAGCAUAUCAAAA